GGGGUGUUCCAAGUAGGUUAUCAAUUUACUAAAUUGCUAAUUUUCAUUAUGGCCCAUAACAUUUUUUUUUAGAUUAUAGUCCAUAAGGUAUACUCUAUUACCUUUUAGUUUUAAGGGAAAAACCCAAUACUAUUGGAUUUAUUCUAAUUAUGUUUUGAACCUUACAUUUUCAAUCCCUUUAAAAUGCAGGGUUUAUUUAGUAGAAGAAUCUUCUUGUAGUAUUUAUUAAUAUGUUUUUUU
rnacentral:lncRNA from 1 species